CUAUCAUCGCUGUCACUUCCAGCCAUGUCGCCAGCUGUUGUCAAUCGACCCAUCAUGUCCGUGAGCUGCUUCUCUGAACUGGUUCCAGGUUUCGCUAGAUCUACAAAUUUGACCACAUCACGCUUCAAAUUCUUGAGAGUAAAACACUUGCGUUUCACAUGGCCAGGAACCCCGCAAUAUUCACAGACUACCACAGAUUCCUCUUCUAACUCUGGCUGAGAACCUUGCCCAUAUCUACUGUUUGAUUCAUUAUUUCUAAAAUUUUUGUUAUUGUAACGGUUCGGUUGUUGAUUGUUUCUGUUGUUGUUGUUUGUGUGAUUGUCAUUGCGAUUAUUGUAUUGUGUGUUGUAUCUGCCAGAAUAGCGAUGAUUUUGAUUACGAUGAUAAAAAUUGUUCGCAUCACGUCUGUAGUUAUUAUUAUUGUUGUUAUUUUGUGACUGUGAGUUUUGCCUAAUGUACGGACGAAAACCUAAUCUCUCAUGCACCGAUCUACGAAAGUUGUUCACUUGCCCAGAAGAACGAAAAUUAUGUUGUUGUGGAGAAUAUUGAUCGAUAAACCCGACAGGAAGAUUAUAAUAAUUGAAGUUGUUGUUGUUAUUGUUCAAUGCAUGCGCGUUAUCCCUGGCUAUAUUCCACGUCGUAAUUAGUUUAUCCAUUUUAUCUAACGUUAAACCUUCCUCCUUCAACAACAUUUCCUUCAACCGAUCAUCCCUUAAGCCCGCCAAAAUGCGGUCUUGGAUGGCCACAUCACGAAAGGCACCGAAACCACAAAAAUCCGCCUGCAGCUUGACGGCCUGUACAAAUUCUUCUGCCGUUUCGUCAGGCUGCUGAUUACGCAGACUCAACCGGAAUCUUUGAACAAGGUCAGGUUCUACCCUAUCUAGCUUCAAUUUAAGUUUGGCUUCAAUAUCGUUGAAGGUUGCAUUGGCCAAAUCCUUCUCAUUAUAAAUCGUUUUAAGUUGAGUAAAUAGAUAAGGACCGCAUAAAUUCAUAAAACGGCAAAUCCAGUCCGAAAACGAAGAACCCUUGCGGAACGGCUCGAUGGAUGAAACCAUGCCUCCUUGGCUCAUUUCAACAAACUUCAAUCAAUAGUUUUUAAAAAAAAUCAAAAAAAAAACACAAGGAGACCUAUUAGUCUGGCUCAAAAUCAAUAUAUAUAAAGGUUUGAAGUGACUCACCCACACAGCGGCAACUUAACCUCAAAAAAUCAGCGCUUCCAGGUACUGCAACACGUGGCUCGUUCCCCGCUCACCCGUAGCGACAGAAAUUACCAGCCGGUCACCUAUCAGCUUCCGACAACGUCGAAAUCAUUUGGUUCUGUUCCGAAAUCACCGGAAGGACAAUCCACCGCCUCGUUGAUGAUUCCCGACACGUCACAAAAGGCAGAACACACCGCCCCGGCCAGAAAACACCAAAAUGUCCGGCUCCUCGGAUCGACCCUGUUAAAACAAAAGAUUACAUUCUUAUUACUCUUCAAACAAAGAUGUUAGACCUGCCGUAAACAGGCAGUCGUUAAAAAUUAAUUAUUGUUAUAGUUUCAAUAAUAAAAAAGAGGUUCUACACCACGAA